AGUGAACGCUGGCGGUAGGCCUAACACAUGCAAGUCGAACGGCAGCACAGUAAGAGCUUGCUCUUACGGGUUGCGAGUGGCGGACGGGUGAGGAAUACAUCCGAAUCUACUCUUUCGUGGGGGAUAACGUAGGGAAACUUACUCUAAUACCGCAUACGACCUACGGUUGAAAGCAGGGGAUCUUCGGACCUUGCGCGAUUGAACUAGCCGAUGUCGGAUUUGCUAGUUGGCGGGGUAAAGGCCCACCAAGGCGAGGAUCCGUAGCUGGUCUGAGAGGAGGAUCAGCCGCACUGGAACUGGGACACGGUCCAGACUACUACGGGAGGCAGCAGUGGGGAAUAUUGGACAGUAGGCGCAAGCCUGAUCCAGCCAUACCGCGUGGGUGAAGAAGGCCUUCGGGUUGUAAAGCCGUUUUGUUGGGAAAGAAAAGCAGCAGGUUAAUACCCCGCUGUUCUGACGGUACCCAAUGAAUAAGCACCGGCUAACUUCGUG
rnacentral:rRNA from 1 species